UACGUAGGUGGCAAGCGUUGUCCGGAAUUAUUGGGCGUAAAGCGCGCGCAGGCGGCCUUUUAAGUCUGAUGUGAAAGCCCACGGCUCAACCGUGGAAGGUCAUUGGAAACUGAAAGGCUUGAGUACUGAAGAGGAAAGCGGAAUUCCACGUGUAGCGGUGAAAUGCGUAGAGAUGUGGAGGAACACCAGUGGCGAAGGCGGCUUUCUGGUCUGUAACUGACGCUGAGGCGCGAAAGCGUGGGGAGCAAACAGG
rnacentral:rRNA from 1 species